ACCGCGGCAGCGACAGCUCCUUUUCCCGCCCGGUCAGAAGCUGCCCCGACAAUCUGUUGCUCCGCGCUCGCCCGCGCGCCCGCAGCCACCUAUCUUCUCACCUGUGUGCCCUCGAUCCUAGCGCUGUUUUCCCGGUCACUUGCAUCAGAUCCACCGCAUGACGACGCCCGCCUUCGCCAAAUCUCAACCACCAGCAAACCCGCGCCUGCGCCACCCUGACGUCAGUGCCCAAUGACCGUCGGCGUCAUCCCCGAAGUCCUGC
rnacentral:lncRNA from 1 species